UCUUAGAGGUUAAGAGGUGAAAACAAGCCGCUUCGGAGAUUGGAGCAUGUGUGAGGCGGGGCUUUUCUGAGUAGCCACAGGGCUCUGGCAGCCGGGAUCUAACUGUGGAGAUGGCCCUCAGAUGAAACAGCAAGCCGGCUGACCUUCAAACCCACGUCAUACCAUGUCUCACUGGACCCCGUGGGAAAAGGGAAGGGUCGCUAAAGGAGACUCCGAGUGAAUGGGAACUAUCAGAUCCUGGAGUCCACCUCUUCUCAGCCUGAUCCUUCAACUCUGAAGCUUGAAAUGGAACCACAUAAGUGUACUCACUGCACUAGCCAAAGCCACAGACCUCUGUCCUCUAAUAUCAAGCCUCUGUUCUGUUAUCACUAAACAGCACUGCAAAGUCUGUACGGCACCAAGAGUUUUCAGCUCACACACUCUGAGACAUCUUUUGCUUCUGUCAGCUAUCUAGAGGAACCGCCCUAACACAUGCCUGCUCUUCAGAAACCUACUGUUUUUUCUGACCACCAUGGGCAUAGAAAGGCCUGAGUUCGCCUAUUCUGUUUGAUAAAGACUUUUUUUUUGGAUGGAGUCCUACUCCCAGCAUUGGGGAAGAUUUGGGUCAUAUUGCCAUUUGGUGCUAGAUGAUCUGUGUUCGGGACUGUCCUACGCUUUGGAGGAUGUUGAAGCAGCACCAUGUGCCUGAGGCCAUAGAGAAGUCGGUAGCAUAAGGUGUUUCAAGAACUGACAGUGGUCCCCUAAAGGGCACAGUCAUCCUGGCUGGGAGCCACUACACUAACCAACUGCCUUCUCUCAGUUCCCGUAAGUUGGUUCCAGUAGCCCGAUGAGAGAAGCAGAGGGUUUGGGAAUUCAGGAUAACCAGCAGCAGAGGAAGCAUUAGGGUGGAAAGAA